GGAAGAAGGUAGAGCUGCCUGGGUCAAGAGGGUGGCAGCUGGAAGACCCUGUGUCUGGCAAGAGGACUCUGCACCUUGCCACACAAGUCGGAGAACCCA